UUUAUGGAGAGUUUGAUCCUGGCUCAGGAUGAACGCUGGCGGCGUGCCUAAUACAUGCAAGUCGAGCGAACGGACGAGAAGCUUGCUUCUCUGAUGUUAGCGGCGGACGGGUGAGUAACACGUGGAUAACCUACCUAUAAGACUGGGAUAACUUCGGGAAACCGGAGCUAAUACCGGAUAAUAUUUUGAACCGCAUGGUUCAAAAGUGAAAGACGGUCUUGCUGUCACUUAUAGAUGGAUCCGCGCUGCAUUAGCUAGUUGGUAAGGUAACGGCUUACCAAGGCAACGAUGCAUAGCCGACCUGAGAGGGUGAUCGGCCACACUGGAACUGAGACACGGUCCAGACUCCUACGGGAGGCAGCAGUAGGGAAUCUUCCGCAAUGGGCGAAAGCCUGACGGAGCAACGCCGCGUGAGUGAUGAAGGUCUUCGGAUCGUAAAACUCUGUUAUUAGGGAAGAACAUAUGUGUAAGUAACUGUGCACAUCUUGACGGUACCUAAUCAGAAAGCCACGGCUAACUACGUGCCAGCAGCCGCGGUAAUACGUAGGUGGCAAGCGUUAUCCGGAAUUAUUGGGCGUAAAGCGCGCGUAGGCGGUUUUUUAAGUCUGAUGUGAAAGCCCACGGCUCAACCGUGGAGGGUCAUUGGAAACUGGAAAACUUGAGUGCAGAAGAGGAAAGUGGAAUUCCAUGUGUAGCGGUGAAAUGCGCAGAGAUAUGGAGGAACACCAGUGGCGAAGGCGACUUUCUGGUCUGUAACUGACGCUGAUGUGCGAAAGCGUGGGGAUCAAACAGGAUUAGAUACCCUGGUAGUCCACGCCGUAAACGAUGAGUGCUAAGUGUUAGGGGGUUUCCGCCCCUUAGUGCUGCAGCUAACGCAUUAAGCACUCCGCCUGGGGAGUACGACCGCAAGGUUGAAACUCAAAGGAAUUGACGGGGACCCGCACAAGCGGUGGAGCAUGUGGUUUAAUUCGAAGCAACGCGAAGAACCUUACCAAAUCUUGACAUCCUUUGACAACUCUAGAGAUAGAGCCUUCCCCUUCGGGGGACAAAGUGACAGGUGGUGCAUGGUUGUCGUCAGCUCGUGUCGUGAGAUGUUGGGUUAAGUCCCGCAACGAGCGCAACCCUUAAGCUUAGUUGCCAUCAUUAAGUUGGGCACUCUAAGUUGACUGCCGGUGACAAACCGGAGGAAGGUGGGGAUGNCGUCNAUUCCCAUCNUNCCCCUUAUGAUUUGGGCUACACACGUGCUACAAUGGACAAUACAAAGGGCAGCGAAACCGCGAGGUCAAGCAAAUCCCAUAAAGUUGUUCUCAGUUCGGAUUGUAGUCUGCAACUCGACUACAUGAAGCUGGAAUCGCUAGUAAUCGUAGAUCAGCAUGCUACGGUGAAUACGUUCCCGGGUCUUGUACACACCGCCCGUCACACCACGAGAGUUUGUAACACCCGAAGCCGGUGGAGUAACCUUUUAGGAGCUAGCCGUCGAAGGUGGGACAAAUGAUUGGGGUGAAGUCGUAACAAGGUAGCCGUAUCGGAAGGUGCGGCUGGAUCACCUCCUUU
rnacentral:rRNA from 1 species